rnacentral:rRNA from 1 species
UACGUAGGGCGCAAGCGUUGUCCGGAAUUAUUGGGCGUAAAGAGCGUGUAGGCGGCUAGGUAGGUCCGUUGUGAAAACUCGAGGCUCAACCUCGAGACGCCGGUGGAAACCAUCUAGCUAGAGUCCGGAAGAGGAGAGUGGAAUUCCUGGUGUAGCGGUGAAAUGCGCAGAUAUCAGGAAGAACACCCGUGGCGAAGGCGGCUCUCUGGGACGUGACUGACGCUGAGACGCGAAAGCGUGGGGAGCGAACAGG